GGGCGAGUGGCGGAAUGGCAGACGCGCUGGCUUCAGGUGCCAGUGUCCGCAAGGACGUGGGGGUUCAAGUCCCCCCUCGCCCA
rnacentral:tRNA from 1 species